GACGAACGCUGGCGGCGUGCUUAACACAUGCAAGUCGAACGGAAAGGCCCUGCUUUUGUGGGGUGCUCGAGUGGCGAACGGGUGAGUAACACGUGAGUAACCUGCCCUUGACUUUGGGAUAACUUCAGGAAACUGGGGCUAAUACCGGAUAGGAGCUCCUGCUGCAUGGUGGGGGUUGGAAAGUUUCGGCGGUUGGGGAUGGACUCGCGGCUUAUCAGCUUGUUGGUGGGGUAGUGGCUUACCAAGGCUUUGACGGGUAGCCGGCCUGAGAGGGUGACCGGCCACAUUGGGACUGCGAUACGGCCCAGACUCCUACGGGAGGCAGCGGUGGGGAGUAUUGCACAAUGGGCGGAAGCCUGAUGCAGCAACGCCGCGUGCGGGAUGACGGCCUUCGGGUUGUGAACCGCUUUCGCCUGUGACGAAGCGUGAGUGACGGUAAUGGGUAAAGAAGCACCGGCUAACUACGUG
rnacentral:rRNA from 1 species